rnacentral:lncRNA from 1 species
GAGUAAUGAAAUAUACAAGAAUAGAAUUAGAAGCACAGACGAACGGAAACGGGAGCGGGAUUUAACACGUUCAAAAGGGGCUGGCUCAUCAUUCUCAAUUUCGCUGUUCACGGCGUCGCCUCCUUCAUCCGGAGAAGAAAGGAAUCGAACGUGAAGCAGGCGUUCUAGAGAUUAGAUCAACACUCCCAUCUCUAAGUUCUAGGUUUGAUCUUGGGUAAGGUUUUCUAUUCUAGG